ensembl:snoRNA H/ACA box small nucleolar RNA (snoRNA); guides pseudouridylation of large subunit (LSU) rRNA at position U1052, constitutive pseudouridylation of U2 snRNA (LSR1) at position 42, and
AGGUUAGGGACUGCAAAAGAAGCGGCGAGGCAGCCCACAUCAAGUGGAACUACACAGACUUCCUUGUCGCGAUACUACGGUCCCAAGAGCAAUCCUAACAAGCAAUUACAUAUUCCCCCGCUGAACCUGUACAGUCCACGGAUGGUGCAGAAGUUAUAUGAUUUGGGGGAAGACGCUUUUUCACAUCUUCUUGCAUGAUAA